AAUCAUCAUUGUUUAACAAUGCAGCCUUAUAAAUUUCAAAUUCUCUAUGCCCUAUCAAUACAUGCAUAUCUUUAGUUGUUACAAUUACUCUACUCUCAGGACCCAGCCAAGCUUGCUUUAUAGAAAGAGUCUGCUGACAGAGAAAGAGCUCAGACCAUUCUCUUACCUUUGUAAAUCUAUUUGUUCUCCUCCAUCGUCUCGGCGCCUUCAUUGUGAGUCUCAACUGCACCAUGAGUUCACUGCUUUCAUCUCCUCAUGCUGUUGAGUUUCCUUCCUCUGUUCUGUCAUCUCUGUCGUUGUGCCGUUGCUGCGUAAGAGUUGACUCACUAGCGUGUUUGCUUUUGUUUCGUCCUCACUGGCCUCAUUAUUCACUGUUUAUACACGAGAUUGUCUCCUCCUUGCUCUGUUCGUGCGACGUCAUCUAAGGUAGAAGCCUUGACCUUUGAUCUUGUUCUUCAAAGAAUAUAUGCUGUGAGAGUUGAUUAUUGGUGUAGGAGUUUCAUUUCGUUGGCUGUUAUUUUUCCACUGCACCCGCUGUCUUCUUUUCACCCUGUAUCGUCCACAUUCGAGUGGAUGCUGGGAUGAGAAAACAAGUCAUUAGAACUGCUAUUGGUGCUAUUGCGGGCUUGGUUUGUUAUUGCUGAUUCGGUUUCUCUCAUUUCUUCCAAGCUAUGUUCGGUUCUCCCUCUCCCCUGUCUAGCCAUCCGUUUCGUUUCCUUCCUCUUUGCUUUCCAUUGUGGUGAUCUAAGGUGAGGAAGCUUCACAUGGUAUCUUAUCUUGCUUUGUAUUUAUUAACUGAUGCUGAUCCCACUACUGACUUCUGAAGGGCAAUAUAGCUACACUGGAUGGAAAUUUUGGUUGGUACUAUUACUUUUGAUGUAAAUAUAUAAGUUGUAUGUAUUUUUGAUUUAAAAGAAAGAUUGGUUACUCCACAUAGAUUGUUGUUAGGAUUUUAUUUCAAUCUAUAUGUACUGUUACUAGCUGGAAGGAGCUAAGCUCUUAAUUGAUACUGUAUUUCGUGAAAAAUUUUGUUGUAGAAUUUUUGGAAGA